UGAAAUGGAAAAGGACAAAAC
rnacentral:piRNA from 1 species